rfam:Myotis lucifugus cont2.2536, whole genome shotgun sequence.
AGACACCCUUCUGGGGCAAGACUUGCUUCAGUGGGGCUUUGGUGCUCACUGAGUCUUCCCCCUGAGUGUGUUUCU